GACGAACGCUGGCGGCGUGCUUAACACAUGCAAGUCGAACGGAAAGGCCCUGCUUUUGUUGGGUGCUCGUUUGGCGAACGGGUGAGUAACACGUGAGUAACCUGCCCUUGACUUUGGGAUAACUUCAGGAAACUGGGGCUAAUACCGGAUAGGAGCUCCUGCUUCAUGGUGGGGGUUGGAAAGUUUCGGCGGUUGUGUAUGGACUCGCGGCUUAUCAGCUUGUUUGUGGGGUAGUGGCUUACCAAGGCUUUGACGGGUAGCCGGCCUGAGAGGGUGACCGGGGACCUUGGGACUGAGAGACGGCGCAGACUCCUAUGGGAGGCAGCAGUGGGGAAUAUUGCACAAUGGGGGGAAGCCUGAUGCAGAAACGCCGCGAGCGGGAUGAUGGCUUUUGGGUUGUAAACCGAUUUCGCCUGUGAUGAAGAGUGCGUGACGGUAAUGGGUAAAGAAGCAACGGCUAACUACGUG
rnacentral:rRNA from 1 species